ensembl:lncRNA
CCUUAACCUGGGAAUAUUAGGAAUCCAGAUUAAGGAGCACAGUUGUAAACGACAAAUUCAUUCAAGAAAUGUUCCAAUUGUCUUAAAACCCUUUAAGCUCAGACACAGGGGUUUUGAAGAUUCCUUUAUUCCAGAAUGGGGAGAAUUUGUUUGGCUUAAGAAAUGACUCCGAUUACCUAAAAUACUUGGGAUUAAGGCUGUGAAUUCACACAGAAACGACUGCAAUCGAUACGGGAACGUGGUUGGGAGAAACUGGCUCGCUUCUGAAUUCAAGUAAGUCCACUGAUUGGGUUCAGUUCUUACCCUUUUAAGCAGCUGGAGCUUCUGCCACCAGUCAGUUUCUCUCUGCAGGUUCUGCUUGUUCAGGACUGCUCUGUCUUGUGGCUCCUGCAUGCUCCCUUCUCUUGGUGGGUCCUUCCACUAUGUUCUGUUUCCUUGGGAACUAAGAAUUCCGUCUCUUCUGUUUAAAUUCCAGAGACAAAACGUGAUUGGUUCAGGUAAUUACCGUCAUCCCUGAGUGAGGAGCUCAUGCUGAACCUGUAGAUUGGCCAGUAAGCCUCGAAUGGCCUGACCCUUCUGUGUUGCUAGGUGUGGCAGUUAAUGGCAGUUACUUGCAGCUUGAACUGUUCGCUAUUGCGGGAUUAUUGUUAACUUUCUGAGAGCAUUUCCAAGUCCAAUGACAUCUGAUUUCUAGUCCUAACAUUUUUUUAAUUCCUGAAGGGUAUUAUACAAAACCAAACAAUGCAGAUUUGGGGAAACAUGUCAAGGUCAUUUCAUUGGCUGGUCUUGUGGAUGGCAGAGCAGCUUCCUUGACAGGGCCUUGAUAGGCCUGAACUCAGCAUCCUAGCAGGAGGCCAUCCUGGGGAAGGCAAGUCCCCAGCUUACACUGGGGUGAUAAAAGAUCCUCUUCUCUCUGAAGCCAGGGACCCGCCCGGCCCAAACCCUGAGACAGAGAGUUGCAUGGAGUGCUCCCAGAAGAGGGAAGUGCAGUAAGCCAGCCCGGAGUCCACGGAGGUAGGCCACACGUCAGGGGGAUGUUGGCUCAGCAAAGAGCUCUGAGGCUAUGUCUAGGCCUACGCAGUGGUUGUAAAUUGUUCUUAACUGUUAAGGGUUGAAUAUGUCCCCCAAAUAGAUAUGUUGAAGUCCUAACCCUCUCAGAAAUCUUAGUUGCAAGUAAGGCUGUUGCAGAUAUAAUUAGUUAAGGUCAUACUGGAGUAAGGUGGGCCCUUAAUCCAGUAUGACUGGUGUCCUCGUAAGAAGAGAAGAGACACAGAUGCACGCACACAGAGGGAAGACAACCAUGUGAAGAUAGAGGCAGAGAUUGGAGUGAUGCUGCCACAAGCCAAGGAGCCCCUGGGGCUCCCAGAAGCUGAAUUAGGCAAGGAAGGAUCCUCCCCUAGAGACUUCAGAGGGAGCAUGGCCCUGCUGACACCUUAAUUUUGGACUUCUAUGUUGUUUUAAGCCAUCUACUGUGUGGCACUUUGUUAUAGCAGUCCUAAAAAACUAAUCCAUCAGCUAUCCUCAAAUCGUCAACAGAGUUUCAUUAAAAGUUUGAAUCUAGGGGGCCGGCCCCGUGGCCAAGUGGUUAAGUUUGCGCACUCCGCUUCGGCGGCCCAGGGUUUCACCAGUUUGGAUCCUGGGUGAGGACAUGGCACUGCUCAUGAGGCCAUGCUGAGGCGGUGUCCCACACAGCACACCCAGAAGGUCCCACAACUAGAAUACAUAACUAUGUCCUGGGGGUCUUUGGGGAGAAGAAGAAGAAGGAAAAAAGAUUGGUAACGGGUGGUAGCUCAGGUGCCAAUCUUUGAAAAACAAAAAAUUAAAUUACAAAAAAAAAGUUUGAAUCUAGUUUCUGCUGGGCUAUGGAUGAAAUUGGCCUUCUCCCCAAUUCUCCAAGACAGAGUACCCCUAGUAGGAGCUUUCCCCAGCAGAGGGCUGCAGUGCCCAGCAAAGAAAGUCUCCUGAGGGUCCUUGGUAGUCGCCUGGCAAGAGGGCUAGAGCAGAACACCCGUUCCUACCUUCUCCCGAGCCUGUGCACAGUGCCUGGGAGGUGCUCAGGGAGAGCCAGCAGGCCAUUUCCUUGCAAUAAAACAGGUGAUGGCUUCUGCCAGUAAGGCUUGCAUUACAUGUGCUCUUCAAAUGGGCCUUAGAUGUGCAAUUUAGGCACGGUGUUCAUAAACCAAGGGAAGUUCUAAUUACCCUUAGAGGGACAAUUCCCUAUUGGUUCCUCCUCCUGUGUGAAGAGUUCUCAGCGUCGGAUUUUAUCCAGCAUGUUGGCAUCCAGGGAGUGUCUUCCAUUGGUGUGCAGGAAAGAAAAUAGAACUUCUGUUUUAUCAUUUUUAUUUUAAAAAUAAAAUAAUUGAGCUUUGCAAGUAUGUAAUACAUGGAUUGACCAUGGCACCCUCAUGGCCUGUGUGACAGAUGGUGGUAUGUCCUGACUGGUACAAGAGGUGUCCUGGUGGGACUUCCUCAACAGGGAGGAGUUGGCUGUGUUGCCCUCAAUGGUUAGCAUUCAGAUAUUAUAAUAUGUUGCUUUUCACAUGAGUUGUUCUGAGGAAUUACAGAAUAUAUUAUUCAAGUCCUGCUAAACUAAAUUAAAUCGCACAAAAUGGUUGCGAGUGUCAAAAGAUUUCCAUCAAAGAAACCAUGAAUUAACAAUGAGAAUAAAACACAGUAUACGCUAAGACAAAUGGCGGAGUCUCUGCCUCUUCCUUGUAUGAGUUCUCUCCCAGCCACAUUAAAGGGAAACAUGGUAAUCUAAUCAUACCUGACAAGAAAAUGACCAGAAAGUUUUACAAAAAAGCAAAAAUUGCCAAGAGGAGCAUUUAAAAUACGGAUUCACAUCCACUCUCAUUAAUGAUGACUAAGUAUAAUUACCCCUUGAGAUCAGCUGAUGACAUGGGCAACAUCCCUUAACAAAUAGUGAGAUGUUUAAAAACUAAGCAUCCCAAAUACGAAGGCAGACUUUCAAAUUUUUCUGCAACAUUUUUUGGUUUGGAAAAUUUCAAGCAUGUAUAAAAGUAGAGAGAUUAGAACAAUGAGCCCCAGGCCCAUCACCUGCUUCAGUAUAUUUCUCAAGACAGGGACAAUCCUGUUUCGUCUGUGAACUACCCACUUCCCCACCCACCCAUGGAUUAUUUUGAAGCAAAUCCUGGACAUCAUACCAUUUCAUACGUAAGUAUUUCAAUAUUUUCUCGGAAAGAUGACUUUUCAAAAAUAUAACAUGCCAUUUUUACACUGAAAACAAACACAACCCAUUGAGGAAUCCUUAGUACCACCAAAUAUCUGGACAAUUCAAAUAUCUCUUAAUGCUUCCUAAUUUUCCUUAACAAUUUGUUUUUUCAAAUCUGAAUCCAAAUAAAAUCCAUAUAAUGCAGUUGGUUGCUAUUAUGUCUUGUCUUUUUUAAAAAUAAAGUUUAUUUUUUAGAACAGUUUUAGAUGUACAGAAAAAUGGUGGAGAUAGCGUAGAGAGUUCCCAUGUGCCCUGCGCCCAGUUGCCCUCAUUGUAACAUCUACAUUAGUGCGGUACGUUUGUUAGAAUUAAUUAACCAACACUGAUGCAUUAUUGUUAACUAAAGUCCAUGCGUUAUUCAGAUUUCCUCAGUUUUCCCCUAAUGUCCUUUUUGCAUUUCAGGACCCAUCCACGAUCCCACGUUACAUUUAGUUGCCAUGUCUCCUUGGUGAGACCUUUUCUUAGAUAUUUCUCGUUUUUGGUGACCUUGACAGUUUUGAGGAGUGCUGGUCAGGUGUUUGGUAGACUGUUCCUCAACUGGGAUUUGUCUGAUGUUUUUCUCAGGAUUAGACUGGGAUUAUGGGUUUUGUGGAGGAAGAACACAGAGGUAAAGCGCCAUUCUCAUCACGUCACAUAAGGGUGCACACUGUCAACAUGACAUCACUGUUGAUGUUGACCUUGACCACCUGGCUGAGGGCGUGUUUGUCAGGCUUCUCCACUGGAAAGUGACUCUUUUUCUCUCCUUUCCACCCUGUCCUCUUUGGAAGGAAGUCCCUGUGUGCAGCCCUCACAGACUGGGAGUCAGGCUGGAUUCUGGUUUCCUUUAGCCUGAAGAAUUUCCUUUCUUGUAGUCUCCUG